rnacentral:lncRNA from 1 species
GCAAAGGGGAGAGGGUGCAGAUGGCAGAGAAAAGAAGGCAUGUGUGGUUGCACUUGAUUCCGUGGUCACGUCUGCCCAGUGCACGUUCCUUCUGAGAAGACACAGGAGAACCAAAAGCAGCGGGGAGCCCCUUCCUCACGCCCGCUCAUCAGUUCAGAACCAGCACAGCCUCAUUGCUGCCCAGCACCCAAAGGCCAGGCACGGGAGGACCGGAUGUGGGGAGGGCCGUGGGGGAAGGCAGGUGCUGCAGGGGACUCUGCUGCAACUCAAGCGAGAUCAAUAACUCCUAAACAAACACGGUUCCACCCUGGACUGAAGCCA